AGCCACUCGUUGAGCACAUAGCGAACUAUUCUUUCGCCUUUUACUAAAGAAUACCGUGUGCUCGUUGCAUUUAAGUGGCAUACACCAUUUUUUGGAGGGAUCUUCCUUUCUAGGGAGGC